rnacentral:lncRNA from 1 species
UCGUCCUAUUGCAUACUUUCAGACGAGAAUCAGACCAGUACAUAGUCGACCAAAAAAUAGGUGGAUGUACCUCCGGAUUUUCAACUACCAUGAGCAAGAUUGAUAGGUUCUCACAGUGCAUUGCUUUGCAUGAUUCAAGAGAGGCAUAAAGUCCCUGUAUUUUGUGAGUUAGGGUUAUAUCCUUUGCAAUGCCAACUAUUCGAUCGUAUCCUGCAUAGAUUUU